UCGAAAGGUGCAUGAGUGGUGUUUGGUUUGUUACGUGUGGUUGGCUGCGGCGUUUGCAACAACUUCCAUGCUUUCAGACCUCUUCAGUUGUGCGGCAAGGCUUGUAUCGCCUUGAGCGUAAUGCGGGUUUUCUGUGCUGGCUACCUAAUCAACGGUAUCGGUUGGAUUGAUCAAAGUUUGAUUUCGUCUUCCGUCGCAUUCGCGGCGUGAGGCGAACCUCGAUGCGGUCUCUUUGAUCCACCUCGUUGAAGCACGUGCUUCGACGUUGUGGCACAUUGAGCAUUGCUUGGUCUCUUGUAUACGGAACAUAUAGUGGGCAUGGAUCUAACGAUCCUCGUUUGYCCUCAUAUUAGCGUAACGCUUCUCUAACACGACUUGCGCCAUGUUUUAGCUCGUACGGACGUGGC
rnacentral:misc_RNA from 1 species